rnacentral:rRNA from 1 species
UACGAAGGGUGCAAGCGUUACUCGGAAUUACUGGGCGUAAAGCGUGCGUAGGUGGUUUGUUAAGUCUGUUGUGAAAGCCCCGGGCUCAACCUGGGAAUGGCAAUGGAUACUGGCAAGCUAGAGUGCGGUAGAGGGUAGUGGAAUUCCCGGUGUAGCGGUGAAAUGCGUAGAGAUCGGGAGGAACACCAGUGGCGAAGGCAGCUCGCUGGGACGGUACUGACGCUGAGACGCGAAAGCGUGGGGAGCAAACAGG